rnacentral:tRNA from 1 species
GCAUUGGUGGUUCAAUGGUAGAAUUCUCCCUUCCCAUGAGGGAGACCCGGGUUCGAUUCUCGGCGAAUGGA